rnacentral:rRNA from 1 species
AUUGAACGCUGGCGGCAUGCUUUACACAUGCAAGUCGAACGGCAGCGCGGGCUUCGGCCUGGCGGCGAGUGGCGAACGGGUGAGUAAUACAUCGGAACGUGCCCAGUAGUGGGGGAUAGCCCGGCGAAAGCCGGAUUAAUACCGCAUACGACCUGAGGGUGAAAGCGGGGGGUCUUCGGACCUCGCGCUAUUGGAGCGGCCGAUGGCAGAUUAGCUAGUUGGUGGGGUAAAGGCCUACCAAGGCGACGAUCUGUAGCUGGUCUGAGAGGACGACCAGCCACACUGGGAGUGAGACACGGCCCAGACUCCUACGGGAGGCAGCAGUGGGGAAUUGUGGACAAUGGGCGAAAGCCUGAUCCAGCAAUGCCGCGUGUGUGAUGAAGGCCUUCGGGUUGUAAAGCACUUUUGGCGGGAACGAAAAGGACUGUGCCAAUACCACGGUUCGAUGACGGUACCCGCAGAAUAAGCACCGGCUAACUACGUG